UCCAGUCCCAGGAUCCCGAGAUGUCCCGGGUAGAAGGAGACUCCGUGACCCUCCGCUGCUCCUACAGCACCAGCGAACAGUAUGUCUUACUGUACUGGUAUCGGCAGUAUCCGAACCGAGCCCCGCAGUACAUCCUGUACAGAGGAGCCAGGUCAAGCAGCUCUUACACUCACACCGCAGAUUUCGCCAAGAAUCGCUUCUCUUCUCAUGCUGACCGCAGUACGACCGUGUUGAGCAUCACCGCCCUGGGCCGGGCAGACACCGCCGUGUAUUACUGCGCCCUGAAGUUGGCACCGUGUGACAGUGCCAUAAGAGACCUAUACAAAAACCCUCGGCGCCUUAGAGCAGCAGAAGUGACAGACACCGGAGCCACCGGCAUCGUCAUGGGAAAGACUUUAAGAUAUAAAGUCUCUGGAAGCUGAGCAACGCCUUUUUCUCAUCGUCCCACACAUCACCCUUCAGCCCCAAAUGAAGUCCUUCGUCAGCUACAUUAAAAGGUCUCCCCAGAAAAAUACCGAAGACAGGGCCUUAAACUCAGAAACCUCUUCAGUAUUUUUCCUCGAACUCUUAGGGACAGGAAGGGCUGUAAUUUGCACUCGUGGUCAAUGAUGUUUCAUUGGGAUUAUGUAGAAGUGUAGACUUCCAGGGGGAAUCAUUAAACUCACAUUUCUGGUGGGAUGACGACAAUAAACGGGAGCACGGCAGUGACAGCAGCGUGUGGGGACAAGAUGCUGUCAGAGCAGCCAGUUGUGGGAAAUACACAAAGCGUAACUUGAAUUUAAACAAUACCGUAGCGACUUCUCCUCAGCUCCCUGUGCGGCUGCAUGAGGCUGGGUGCACCUCAGCUCCUCGCUGCCCCCUUCCCUUCUUCGGAGCGCAGAGGAACGGGAGUCUCGGGCUGCUCAGACAGAACAGCGUCACGCCUGCCUUUUUUCUCACAGUCAAACACCUCAUUGGCACAGGAAACUCCUCGGGAGCAAA